AGGUCAGAGGCCUCGCUGAAGUGGUGCAGGCCAUGCAGCAGCAGCAACAACCGCAGGCGUCAGUGCGACUGGAGAGAACAUCGUCGAAACUCUAAAAUUUGGUGGUAGGAUGGGCCACUUGGGCCAGUCGCCCCGUCUUUCCCGAAAAGAUGAAUCCGAGGGUGGAGAGCCCUCAGUCAGAUCACGAUUCUACUCCUGGAAGAUCUCUACCUCCAUUCUGCCAGAAGACCCUCGAGACCCGUAGUCAAGAGGAUUUCCU
rnacentral:lncRNA from 1 species